UACGGGGGGAGCAAGCGUUGUUCGGAUUUACUGGGCGUAAAGGGCGCGUAGGCGGCCACCGCAAGUCAAUUGUGAAAUCUCCGGGCUUAACUCGGAAAGGUCAACUGAUACUGCGGGGCUAGAGUGCGGAAGGGGCAACUGGAAUUCUCGGUGUAGCGGUGAAAUGCGUAGAUAUCGAGAGGAACACCUGCGGCGAAGACGGGUUGCUGGGCUGACACCGACGCUGAGGCGCGAAAGCCAGGGGAGCAAACGGG
rnacentral:rRNA from 1 species